rnacentral:rRNA from 1 species
AUUGAACGCUGGCGGUAGGCCUAACACAUGCAAGUCGAACGCGAAAGUCCUUCGGAUGAGUAGAGUGGCGGACGGGUGGAGUAACGCGUAGGAAUCUAUCCUGUAGUGGGGGAUAACGUUUCGAAAGGAACGCUAAUACCGCAUACGCCCCAAGGGGGAAAGCGGGGGAUCUUCGGACCUCGUGCUAUAGGAGGAGCCUGCGUCGGAUUAGCUAGUUGGUGAGGUAAAGGCUCACCAAGGCGACGAUCCGUAGCUGGUCUGAGAGGAUGAUCAGCCACACCGGAACUGAGACACGGUCCGGACUCCUACGGGAGGCAGCAGUGGGGAAUAUUGCGCAAUGGGCGAAAGCCUGACGCAGCCAUUACCGCGUGUGUGAAGAAGGCCCUUGG